CCAUGAUGGGAACUCCUAAUCAUUGAAAUAUUUUUCUAAUGUUUGAGUGGAUGCAUUGGAAGAAUAGGCUGUGUGUGUGUGUGUACACAUGCCUACACAUAUGUACAUACACCUAUUUGUUUGUAUUGAUACCCAUUAAAAUGUCUGUAAACUAUUUUUAAUUGAAUGAUAUUUUAUCUUCCAUAUACUCUCAUUUAACCCCAUUUCUCUACAGUUGGACAUCUAGGUUGUGUGUGAUUAGUCACUUUCACUUAAUACUCCAUGAUGAUCAUAUUGUCCAUUUUGUAAGCACACUUGAAAGAACAAUCCAGGACCAACUUGUCUUUCUCUCAACAGCCUUUGGUUGCCAAACAUGGACACAUUUCAGAUUACUGUGUGCCAGGUUUGUCUGGCACCAUUUCCCCUAACAUUCCAAAGAUGUGAUGCGUGGGUGAACAUUUGUAACCAGUACACUCUUAGAACUCUGCACUUCAAAACUGGGCUUCACCCAGAUUUGAAGUGUCAGAGACAAAUUGAAAUAGCAAUGCCUGCUCUUCGUGAUGGUGGUGAGGGUGUGGGUGGGGGUGCAGGCCAGGCAGGGGUGACGUUGCUUUCAUCCUCCAGCCGUUGUUUCUAAAAUAGUAAUAAACAGUUUCCUUGUUCCUUCAUCUGGGAUGCUCUUUGGUCGGGUUUUGCUGUCAUGUUCUUUAGAAGCGUCCGAACACCAAACAUAUGUGAACAUAUGAUGCUUAGUAAAUGAUACCACCAUUUAAAAUACUUACUCUCAAAAUUAAAUGUGCUAAAAUGUAGGUACAGAUACGUCUCUUACAAUUUUCCAGUUGCUCGUUGCCCUGCUGAAGGAAGGCUGCUUCUUGAUUACCUCGCACCCAUAUUGGGCUGCCCACCCCUGUUCAUUGGGACUCAUGUGGUGCCUUUGCCUAUCUUCCCCUCUUUCUCUUGAACUACUGUGUAUUGCGAGUGGGUAGGACAGAUAAUUAUUUUUUUUUUUUAUUCACAGGUUUCCAAGAAAAAUUAAGACCUGGUGUGGAUCCUGAGAUCUUGGACAUACUGUCUAAUGCUAUUGGCUUUAUUUCCUCUGGGGCUAGUUGUCCUGUUUGUGAAUACUAUUCUUUUUGGUGUUGGAGUUCACGGCAUCUGGCAGUCCCUGGUUGCCCAUCUAAGGACAAGUUCACAGGUCUCUGGAUCAAGAGAGACUAUAACAAACCUGAUGCAGAAACAAAUCAUCUUCUGACUGGCUUUGAAUUUGCUGCACUGAUUGAUACAGCUUCCCCAUAGGGAGAAGUUUCUACCCUCAAAGGAGAGAGGCCAAUGGAGGGGGCUGAUAAGCCUGGCUCAUGACCACCAGCCUCAGCCUAGGGUCCUCUUUGCAAAACUACAGCUGGAGAACGACACACAGACCACGUGGUAUGGUUCUAAUUCCUCUGACAUCUCAUUUUCAUUCUUUGAUGGUAUUUGUCUGCAUCCAGCUUACACACAAAUGUUUCCAGUAAAACACUCUGAGUGUCUUUUUCAGAAAUCCGA